ensembl:lncRNA
UUCUGCCACAAAAUACAAAAUCCCCAGGCAUCACAUAUAACGUUACACCAACCAAAGAUUUAGCCCAAUCAACAAAUGUCUGUGACAACUCUUCUGAAUCUUCCAGCUAUCUUUUUGGAAAUGACACCUCUGUCUUACCUAGCUCAAGGAACUUUUUGCCAACACCAGAGAGUAGAUCAAGGCCCCCAUCAGCUACAUCAGACCAUACCAAACACACAACACUAUCCUCUUAUCUCCAACCUGAGCCUUCCAUUACUCUUGGAAAGGCAGAAAAUCAGAGUUUAUCCAUAAUCUGUGAUGGAGUUAGUCAUCCUUUCUCUAACCCAAUAGACUGUUUUGAUUGUUUUGAUGACCAUGCUGACCCAACAACCUUGAAAAGCCUUGCAUUUGUCCCAGAUGAAUGUAAAGGCAGUGGACCACCAGUUCAGAUACUGCAAGAUUCAACCUCUAAAACCUCAGAUUCUGGAUCGUCAACAAUAAAAAUUGCGAAAAGUCAACAAAAUGUCACUGACAACACAACUGAUUUAACCUCCCCGUGUGCAUGGGAUGCAUCUCUGCCGAAGCCAGUGCCAUCUGUAGAGAAGAAACAAUGCCAUGUUGAGGUUUUUGAUAGGAACAAGGGAACAGAAAUGUUAAAAAAUGAUUCCCCAAGCAGUGACAAGAGGCUUAGUCAAGUGCCUGUAGCAUUAAGAGAAAGCCCAGAGGUUAUCAGUAGGGACAAUGGUGGUGAAUUUGACAGGCAACCAUGCAGGGAAAAAGAGGAGAGUGGAAAGAAGGAGGGAGAGGGGGAGGAGACUAUUGGAGAGAGUAGUUACAGAGGGGAACAGGUUGAGCUGUCAUUCAGUGCCAGGAAUAGAAAAGGGCCUGCAGGCCACAGCCCAGCUCUCUCAAGUCGAGACCCAAAGUCGGGAAUUCCAGCUCGCUGUUAUUUUGAGUCGCACCCAACAACUUUGCAGCAACAGAGUCAGCUCAGAGCUCAGGGCUCACAACAAGAGAACAAGGGUGGCGCCAGGAGGCUCCAGUCAGCUGCCCAGGGUAAAUACAGCAGUGCAGGCUUUCUUCCUCCUGAAUGUACUGGUGAGACCUCCAACAUGGGAAGUGAAUUUGAUGAAGCAGACAAUGAAGUAAAGUGGUUUACAGAUCUGGCCUUCAGAAGCCUAUCUAGUCCUCAGGUGGAUUAUUUGGAUGUGUACAAUUCAAGCCACAGGUCCUCUACAAAUGUUUCACAGCCAUCGACUGUAGACAGCCCUGGAGCUGUUGCAUGGAUGACCUACGCAGAUUUACGUGGCUCAGCUUUACAUGAACAUGAUGGUUCGUCUUUUUUAUCCCGUGAUGUCCUGGACCCAAACAAACGCUUUGAAAUGGGGAGUUUUGAGUGUGUGGAUGUUGCAUUAGAGAGCAAGGAAGAAUCCAGUAGAGGAAAGAGGACAGUACCUAAAAGGCAGAUCCAGCUGUUAAAGCGGAACACAGAUGAAUCAAAGCAUAAAGGAAACAAUGAAAAUAUUUUGAAUUCACCCUCCACAUAUAGACACUCAAAAGACGCACUUGUUCGUCAACAUAGCACCCCAGCUAUUGUGCAAGAGGAAGUUUCCAAGGAGGUGCCAAAUUCACCACAAAAUGACAGGAAAAAGACCUUGCAGAAGUCUGUGUCUUUAGAUGAUGGCUCCCCUAAGACACAAAUGGCAUCUUGCAUUAUCAAGAGUGUAUUGUCAAAGAAAAUGCAUGAUGUGCAGAAAGAGACACCAAAAAGUACAGACCCAAGUCCUUCUGGAGAUAAAAAUAAACAUCUUGAUGUCAGCCCCAGCUCUUUUGAUGGUGUACCAAGUACCAUGGAGAAACAUAGUUUAAGCUCUAGCCAGCAUUCUGAAUGUACUCUUUCAUCUGAAGAUUUUGCUGCGGGAGAGGAGAGAAUUUCACAUCGUCAGCCGAAGAAGUGUGCUCCAAAGGUUCCACCAAAGCCAUUCUUAAGACCUGCAUUCUUUAACAAUGGGGAAGCUCAGGUAGCUGGCAACAUUGCAAGGGAAGAAACCAAGCCUAUAGUGGCUCCUCCACAAGUUGAUGACAAAAUACAAAACAGCAAGAGUGAUAGGAAAGAGGGAGGAGGUAGCAACCUUGAAGAGAAGUACAAUUGUGACUCAGCAAAUGCCAGUAUCAGUAACACAAGUCCUGUUGUUGCUACACCAGCAAUAAGCAUGCAGAACAGAAUGACAACCAGAGACAUAAAAAAGCGCCAGAUGACACCGGAAAACCAGGAACAACUGGCUGGAAAGAGUGUAUUUAUGUCGAAAACCCCAGAGAUAACUUUGAAACCUUCUUCUAUCAAAGGAAAAAAGACAUCUUCUCUGAAAGUGUCUUUGUCCCCUGACUUGGAACAGUCCAGAGAAAUAUCUAAAUCUCAGGCAAUAGAGAAAGCUGCAGAAGAUAUAAGCACCAAAUCUACUAAAGUCAUAGAGACAGAAGAUGACGAUGACAGCAACAAAAAAUCUGUUAUACAUAGAGUUAGGGAUGUGAGGAAGUUAGUGAAAAACACAUACAACCUGUCUUUCA